UCUUGCGGUCCGGAGUGAAUGGGUUAUCAUUGAAAAGGAAGACCCCCAUUCACACUAACUUGACUUGAG
rnacentral:sRNA from 1 species